UGCGCAGGCGGAUUGUUAAGCAAGACGUGAAAUCCCCGGGCUUAACCUGGGAAUGGCGUUUUGAACUGGCAGUCUAGAGUGCGUCAGAGGGGGGUGGAAUUCCACGUGUAGCAGUGAAAUGCGUAGAGAUGUGGAGGAACACCGAUGGCGAAGGCAGCCCCCUGGGAUGACACUGACGCUCAUGUACGAAAGCGUGGGUAGCAAACAG
rnacentral:rRNA from 1 species